rnacentral:rRNA from 1 species
CAUGCAAGUCGAACGGCAGCACAGCAGAGCUUGCUCUGUGGGUGGCGAGUGGCGGACGGGUGAGGAAUACAUGGGAAUCUGCCCAGUCGUGGGGGAUAACGUAUGGAAACGUACGCUAAUACCGCAUGCGCCCUNUGGGGGAAAGCCGGGGACCUUCGGGCCUGGCGCGAUUGGAUGAGCCCAUGUUCGAUUAGCUAGUUGGCGGGGUAAAGGCCCACCAAGGCGACGAUCGAUAGCUGGUCUGAGAGGAUGAUCAGCCACACUGGGACUGAGACACGGCCCAGACUCCUACGGGAGGCAGCAGUAGGGAAUAUUGGACAAUGGGCGCAAGCCUGAUCCAGCCAUGCCGCGUGAGUGAAGAAGGCCCUCGGGUUGUAAAGCUCUUUUGUCCGGAAAGAAAAGCAUUCGGUUAAUACCCGGGUGUUCUGACGGUACCGGAAGAAUAAGCACCGGCUAACUUCGUGCCAGCAGCCGCGGUAAUACGAAGGGUGCAAGCGUUACUCGGAAUUACUGGGCGUAAAGCGUGCGUAGGUGGUUUGUUAAGUCUGAUGUGAAAGCCCUGGGCUCAACCUGGGAAUGGCACUGGAUACUGGCAAGCUAAAGUGUGGCAAAAGGUAAUGGAAUUCCUGGUGUAGCAGUGAAAUGCGUAAAGAUCAGGAGGAACAUCCGUGGCGAAAGCGACUGCCUGGGCCAACACUGACACUGAGGCACGAAAGCGUGGGGAGCAAACAGGAUUAAAUACCCUGGUAGUCCACGCCC